CCAUCUGUAAUAUUCACUAAAACCGCUAGCGAUAUUGGACCGGGCCAUCAUAGGGCGGGUGAUGGCUUAUGAAUCGAGCCUGCACCACGUCCUUACAGCUGGAGUGCGGGCGCCACUGCCUGCACGCGAGCAGGCUCGAGCCUGCGCUACCACCUUACAGCUGGAGUGCGGGCGCCACUGCCUGCCCAUUAUGCACAGACCAAGUCCGCACUGUGUAGUGGGAUUCGCGCCUGCUUAUCGCAGGUUACGAGAGUCCUUUUCAAGGCUAACAAUAAAAGAGCGUAGUUUUAUCUACUGGAAGUAACGUCAUCCAUUUUUGCUGCGAUGCCUGGGUCUGCUGAGCGCAACAUUAUUAUACGAUGUUUUAAAUCUUUCACUUGCAACGAUAUUUUAUACUGAAGUAGUUCAUCCAUCUUCCAUAAGUGCUUAUUCGGGACAAGGUAAUGCAGGCACUUCUACUCAGAGCGUUGCACAAUUCAGAAAAGGGGUCAACCAGGAUGUCACACCAAGUGAAAGAAGCGCAACCUAAAUGCACAGGUGACAUGAGCUUCUGGCAUUUUCCUACAGAAGAAGAGAGAGCAGGCGACAGUCUUCUGACAGACCAGCCAGGCUUUGAGAAAAACGCCUCAGAAUACAUUAACAUUUAGCUACAGCAUACUGCUGCUGACAGCCCAGAUGGGACAAAAGAUGAUAUUGUUUCUUGUAUCUCCCAGGAACUUUCACAAGCAUGACUCCCCUUCUUUUUCGGGGUCAGGGAUACAAUGCGGCCUGGAAGGUGUAGGGAUUGCAGGAGGAGGGAAUAUCUGGCUGUGCUCUACGCUGAGCGUGACCUUUCAGUAGCUGUCCAAUGUGGCAGCACACUAAACAUAAACAGCAUAUCAUCGCAUGCAAGGCAUGUGGUUUCAUCUAAGGACUUCUGUUUGUUUUGUUGUUUUACAAACAAAUGAUGUCCUGUUGAGGUACACAUAUGCAUCCGGAUAAUAUAGGCAUAUGUGUCUCCUCCUGGUUCUGUGGUCGAGUUUUAUUUGAAACAUAAUUAUGUUGGCCUUGUUUUAAGUUUAAUGUUUCAGGUGUUGCAUGUGGCACCGUGCAAUUUGUAUUUGCAGAGAGCUAUUAUGCUGUACAGGAUCUAUAAAGAACACAUGUAAAAACAGUACGCAGUGCAGGUGUUUGCUUUUCAUUUACUUGGCAAUGUUAAGCAGGUCGAGUUGCAUCUAAACCUGAUUCUAGGUCUCAGCAGCCAGAAAACAGUCCAAUCUACUGUGAGACAUCUCGCAGCCUCGAUGCUGGCUAAUACAGUGCAAAUUUUAUUUGACAUAGAUGUCUAUGUCUUUGAUGCUGGAGAUUUUAUAGGGCAGAUGUGAGUCUCAAAGCCAGCUUUUGGACAGGUGGCACAACAGUGGCUCAUAUUGAGAUUCUCACAACCGUCACACCACAAGCACACUGACUGAGCUAGUAUUUAUGUUUUUGAAUAAUCUUAAAUAAAAAUUUGUUAUACCAUUGUUACUUGAUUAUAUUAACAUUGAAUACAGUUUCUUAGGUACUAUAGUACACUUACUACACAAAAUUUGAUAUACUAAAAAAUAAAAUGAAGGGUUUUUUGUCAUGCUCUGCUUGUCCGAUCCUCCCGUGUGCCACGCCCCCUCAUCUACCCCGUGUGGAUUCCCUGUGUUUACCAGCUGUUUCUUGUUGCUGUUAUUAGUUCAAUGAAUUGAAGUCUGCGUUAGGUAUGUUUUCCCAGGUUCGGUCAUUGACGUCCUUUUAUGUAGCGUGGUGUCGUUUUCCCUAUUAAACGCCAUAUUCUCUCGA